GAACUGUUUCACGAAUCAUUUUGGUUAGUUUGGUUGUUUCCUCCAUGCAUUUGGCUUCUCAUUCUUCUUCCUUCCUUUGAUGUUGUUGUUUCAUCAUCGUUGUAUUUAUGUUGCAGGAAUUGGAAUGAUGAAGUUCACAACUGCAGCAAGAGAAUCCAUUGAUGCAGUUUCUGCAAUUCAUAAACGCUCAAAAAGGAUUUGAAGAAAUUGAGAGGGAAAAUCAAGGAAUAAUAGUUAAAUAAGAGGGCAAAGGAACUUAAACACGGAGAAGAUGCAGCAACACGUGAAACUCCUAAAUAAGAUGAAGGUUAAGAUGGAAGUCUUGAGAGCAGCACAAAAACUAGCGGCUAGUGGAAUACUAUUGGAUGCAUAUUAGAUUGAUGUAGUGUUGAAAUAUUGUUGAUG